rnacentral:lncRNA from 1 species
AUCAUUCCUUUGUAAUCAAACUCAGAGCAAUCAGAACUUCCCAAAGAAAUCGAAGUUAGAGCCAUCAUUAUCCAUUAAUCGUUCCUCUUCUCACAUCGUUCUCAAAUCGAAGUUAGAGCCAUCGUUCUCACAUCGUCACUUCUGUUUCAGGUGCUCUUUUCUGCAACUUGAUCUAAGAUGUUGUUUUUGUUCUUUGAUUUUGUUUUUCAAUUUUCUUUCUUCCCUCAUAAUCUUGUGAUCGUGUAUUUUUUCAAUAUUUAUAAUUAUAGUGUUCAUAUGUGUAAUUACAGUGUUCUGCAACUUAGUAAUUACAAUCUUUUAACAUAUAAGCAGUCAUAUAUCUGAUUGGUUAAUAUUUAUCUUUUCAUACAUUAUUAAGUUCCAACAGUACUAAAAACUACUGAUUGGAAAUAUACAUUAUUAGAAAUAUCAGUUUUUGAGCUCUUUGAUAUAAAGCACCCAAUACCCUCUUGUAUUUGCACUCCAAUUGUAAAGUUCAACAUAGAAUAAUGACCUUCAUAUUUUUAAUUUUUAAGCUGGAAA